CUUGAUGAAAGGAAAGGAGAGUCAAAGAAUUCAGGAAUCACCUUUUUCAAAUGUUUCAUUCCCUUUUUCCAUUCCUUAAAGGAAGCUCUUCCUAAGACUCGGAGCUGCUCAGAUCCCCUCUUUAUAGAGGCUUCUUCCACCAUGCACAUCUUUGCCAUUGACAUGCACUCACUGCCAGUGUCAUUCUAAGCUGAAGUUAUUGAUUGAUGCAUCACCCUCCUUCAUUAGGUAAUGAACUCCCCAAAGGCAGAGACGUUAAUGGAUGAAUGAAGAAAUGAAAUGAGAAGGAGCUAGAAAUGGAACAUGCUAUCUGUGAUGGUGCCUGCAGAGCUGUCUGCAUCCCAUUAUGCCUCACUGUAUGGAAAGCCUCCGAGGGACUGGAGAUUUGUCUAUGAUCAGUGCAUAUUCCGCUCUGUGUACGAAUCACAAAUGUUGAUAGAAAUAGCCAUGGGGUGUGCAAAGAACCCAUUUCGUAUGUCAGAAGAGUUGGGCCUCCGUUAGAUGAAAUGUCAAGGGAAGGCAGAUAUCUCAAUGGGAAAUGACCUUAAGAAAGCCCCGACCUCGCCAAAGAUGACCUUUUUGCAGCAAGAAACAUUAAAAUUACAACCAUAUUCAUGUUUUAGUUUCAAAAACAAUAUGUAUUUCUCCUCCACACUCUCCUGGCUUGGCAACCUACAUAUCUUAAAUAAAGAUAUACCGGGGUCCUAUUUCUACUUGGCAGAGCCAAGUUGAUUUAUUUCU
rnacentral:lncRNA from 1 species